rnacentral:misc_RNA from 1 species
GAUGAAGAACGCAGCGAAAUGCGAUAAGUAAUGUGAAUUGCAGAAUUCAGUGAAUCAUCGAAUCUUUGAACGCACAUUGCGCCCCCUGGUAUUCCAUGGGGCAUGCCUGUUCGAGCGUCAUUUGUACCUUCAAGCUUUGCUUGGUGUUGGGUGUUUGUCUCGCCUUUGCGUGUAGACUCGCCUUAAAAUAAUUGGCAGCCGGCGUAUUGAUUUCGGAGCGCAGUACAUCUCGCGCUUUGCACUCAUAACGACAGCGUCCAAAAGUACAUUUUACACUCUUGACCUCGGAUCAGGUAGGGAUACCCGCUGAACUUAAGCAUAUCAAUAAGCGGAGGA